GAGCCGGGGCCGCGGGCGGCGGGCGGAGCCCGGGGUGGGGGUGAGGGCUCUCGGUGUGCCCGCACCCCCAGGCUGCCCUGGGGAGAGGAGACCUGCCCCCGGCCUCGCCCCGGCGGGAGCCAGAGCCAGACCCUUGGGAGACAGGCUGGGAGUGGGACUCACAGAGCUCACAGCCUGUUCCAGUUCAGGGCCCCAGGACCACAGCAAGCCGGCGACUCCCUUCAGACCUGACCGUCCAGGAGGCAGGUCCCUAGGGAUGCUAUUUAUCAACUACCAGGAAACUUCUCCUCCCCAACCACUCAGAAGACCUGCCAUGUUCAGCUGUCCCGUGGCACUUGGUCUCUUAAUGAAGAUGGAGCUGAUCCAGUAUAUGAAGGAGAUUUGGAGAUCUUUUGAGGCCAUCCCUCAAGCUGGGAAACUGCCUAGUAAUUGUGGCCUUUUGUACAGGCGUCUCUGUAUUUAACUACUAGUGGUCCAGUCAUAACUCAUCAUGACUUUGGAAAAAUCCCAGUAUUUGUGAUUCAUUGGGAAAGAACCACUGAAACUUCCAGGCGAUGUGGACUUCAGAUUCUGCAGAUGUCAACCCAAAAUCUCAUAAACAAGGAUUUCCAACUUCUUCCCAUAUCUAUUCCUGAAUAUAAUAUGAAAUCUUUUGUAACCAGCUUCUUGAAUGGAAUGCAAGGAGGAGAAGGGCUGGCAGAUGGAGAGGAGAGCAGCAGACAUACAGAUGCUGGCCAUGACACAGGGCCUCAGAAGGUGUUGGAUAUAGAGCAAGAGACCCUCAGGACUUCAUGAGGGACAGAAAGGAGCUGGAGCAGAAUGGGGAGGGAUCAAGUGAACCACAAGAGGAUGAGAAGAGAGGAGACGACGUAGACAUAUUUGCAAAUUUGACAGCAAAAUAGAGGAAACAGGGCAAUCCAGAUGUAGUCAGAGUAUUUCAAAAUAAGAGACAACAGGGCUAGUACCCCAUAAAACAGUGCUAGGAUAUUAGUCUCCACUUGAGCAUGUAAGUAUUACAACUAGAGGACUUCCUUGCCUCCGCAAGGACCCAGACAACCCAAACCUAUUCAGACUGUUAGCAAGGAAGCAACUAGUAAGAUAGAAGUCAGGUGCAAAGGGAGGAACCGCUGUCGUAGGCCCUUAUUCUGCAAUAGAAGCCAUGUGGGCAGACCCUUGCAUGUGCCUGGCUUCAAGAGGAUUCCACAUAUGAGCAAGGAGCCACCCUGCCUGGAUCAGGAUCAUUGAUGAGCCAGAAGUAAAAAGGAGUAUCAAAAUUGUUGGGCUCAGACGGAAGGUAUGUGGUCUCUCUUAUUUGCACAAAAGAUUUCCUAAAUUCACUCAGAGGAAAAUACAAAGGGACAGGGCUUCCAGUUUGAGAACAUUUAUUUAAUGUUAUUUCAGAUUUACAAAAUUAUUGAUAUGAAAAACAGAAUAAGUCCAUGUGGGCACAAUAGAAGGGCCGGGAAUCUUUCUGGAUGUCAGUACAGCACUGCAUGCAAGGAGUAUUUUCUGUGAAUGAAGCGGUACACUAAAGACCAGAUGAUUGCCCUAUUAGCAUGCUUCUCUUCUGACUUUGCUUUGGGAGCUCUCCUCUGGUGGGUCCAGCUGCUCAACACAUCCAUUUGAUUCCCUAGCUCCAAUGAGGAAGUCAGACAUGGAUCAAGGCCAGAAAGCUGAUAAUGGAGUCUAUAAAUGCCAGGAAGACGACUAUAUGGCCUGUGCACUAGAAGACUAUCAAUAAAAUAU